CUCAUGCUAAGGAUCCAGACUGCACAUUUUAUUGUUGACCAAUCUCAAACACAAUCCUCUCUAUAAAGAAGGCUUGGUCAUUCAAGGACCACUAAAGGCACCCAGACUUGUUCAUCUCAAUAAAGCGGUCUGGGUGCAGUGGCCCUUUUAGUUUUGACCCUGCCUUGCAAAACACUGCUGUUUAGAAGAUAUGGCAAUGUUUGAUUGCAGGAUGAACACACCUCUAGGGGCUGGCUACCUGUCAAUUCUGCCCUAUUGGGCGGUGUUAGUAACGCAAUUUGCUACUAUGGCCUGCUCCUUCUACACCCAGACACCAGCGCCCCCCUUGCAGGGACACCAGUGGUCCCCAACCUUUUUGGCACCGUGUACCGUUUCCAUUGAACAAACAAUUUUCAUGGCCCAGAAGGUUGGG